rnacentral:rRNA from 1 species
CGUAGGUGAACCUGCGGAAGGAUCAUUAUUGAAAACUCUGAACGCUUGUGGCUUCACUUCUGUUGCUGACUCUUGAGUAUGUGCACGUCUUGAAGUUGCUCGCCUCUUCUUUGUCCACCUGUGCACCUUUUGUAGAUCUGGUUGGGGUUGAAGGUGAGGUUCGCCUCCUUUCGUUUCCUCCGGGUCUAUGCUUCAUAUCAUCUCUUGCAUGUUUAGAAUGUCUUCGUUUAUGGGACUUCACCGUCCUCUAAAACAACUUAAUACAACUUUCAACAACGGAUCUCUUGGCUCUCGCAUCGAUGAAGAACGCAGCGAAAUGCGAUAACUAAUGUGAAUUGCAGAAUUCAGUGAAUCAUCGAGUCUUUGAACGCACCUUGCGCCCUUUGGUAUUCCGAAGGGCAUGCCUGUUUGAGUGUCAGUAAACUCUCAACCCUUCUUACUUGUUUUCGAGUUCGAAUGGUGUUGGAUGGUGGAGGCUUGCCGGACCUUUCGAUGGGUUCAGCUCCUCUGAAAUGCAUUAGCAGUACGAACCAUUACUUGGGCUACGCUAAGCUGUGAUAAUAUCUAAGCUAGCUUGGUUCAGAGUGUUGGCAGAGCUCGGGUGUUUGAAGGGUUUGCCUCACGGCUCCCUUUGUGUUCUCUCUCUGGAGAGAUACCUAUGCGACUCUGUGAAAGGUUUUUGUGACCGCUUCGAACCGUCUUCUUGACUGAGACAACUUUAACUGAUUAUUUGACCUCAAAUCAGGUAGGACUACCCGCUGAACUUAAGCAUAUCAAUAAGCGGAGGAAAAGAAACUAACAAGGAUUCCCCUAGUAACUGCGAGUGAAGAGGGAAAAGCUCAAAUUUAAAAUCUGGCGGCUUCGCUGUCCGA